rnacentral:rRNA from 1 species
UACGAAGGGGGGCUAGCGUUGUUCGGAAUUACUGGGCGUAAAGCGUGCGUAGACGGUUAUUUAAGUCAGGUGUGAAAGCCCCGGGCUCAACCUGGGAAUUGCAUUUGAGACUGAAUAGCUAGGGUGCGGAAGAGGGAAGCGGAAUUUCCGGUGUAGCGGUGAAAUGCGUAGAUAUCGGAAGGAACACCAGUGGCGAAAGCGGCUUCCUGGUCCAGCACCGACGUCAGGCACGAAAGCGUGGGGAGCAAACAGGG